UACGGAGGGAGCAAGCGUUGUUCGGAUUUACUGGGCGUAAAGGGCGCGUAGGCGGCCAGCACAAGUCAGUUGUGAAAUCUCCGGAGCUUAACUCGGAAAGGUCAACUGAUACUGUGCGGCUAGAGUGCGGAAGGGGCAACUGGAAUUCUUGGUGUAGCGGUGAAAUGCGUAGAUAUCAAGAGGAACACCUGCGGCGAAGGCAGAUCUCUGGGCCGUAACUGACGCUGAGGAAGCGGAAAGCAUGGGGAGCGAACAGG
rnacentral:rRNA from 1 species